rnacentral:rRNA from 1 species
CCGCGAUUCGCCCUUCGGGGUGCAGCAGGCGCGAAAACUUUACAAUGCUGGCAACAGCGAUAAGGGGACCUCGAGUGCCAGGAUACAAUCUUGGCUGUCGCGAUGCCUAAAAAGCAUUGCAUAGCAAGGGCCGGGCAAGACCGGUGCCAGCCGCCGCGGUAACACCGGCGGCUCGAGUGGUAACCGCUAUUAUUGGGUCUAAAGGGUCUGUAGCCGGCCGGAUAAGUCUUUUGGGAAAUCCAGCUGCUCAACAGUUGGGCUUUCAGAAGAUACUGUUCGGCUCGAGACCGGGAGAGGUGAGAGGUACUUCAGGGGUAGGGGUGAAAUCUUGUAAUCCUUGAAGGACCACCAGUGGCGAAGGCGUCUCACCAGAACGGAUCUGACGGCAAGGGACGAAAGCUAGGGGCACGAACCGGAUUAGAUACCCGGGUAGUCCUAGCCGUAAACGAUACUCGCUAGGUGUCAGCCACGGUGCGACCGUGGUUGGUGCCGUAGGGAAGCCGUGAAGCGAGCCACCUGGGAAGUACGGCCGCAAGGCUGAAACUUAAAGGAAUUGGCGGGGGAGCAC